GGGACCCCGCCGGGGACGAAGGCUCUGGGCUCCGGCGAUCUUGGAGGGGCGGCCCCGGGGUGCGCAGCAUCAGUCUGGAGGGACUGGGGAAGCGGGGAGGGGAACACGAUCCAGAGGGCUCAAGAGGGACCCAGCCGGGCUGGGAAGCGGGGGGCGGCGCAGCCAGCGUAGAGGGGAAGACCCAGAGCGCGCAGCGACAGUCCCCGUUUGGGACAGGAGCUGAAGACAGCCCUUGUGGCCCUCCCGGGAGACGGAGGUCGUGGGUCGACCUCUUACAGCACCGUUUUAGAAGUGUUUGUUCCUAACCUGUGGAAGACACGGAAGAGGAGAACACCCUGGUGGUUGGGACACUAUUCCCUCAAUUAAAAAAUUAAAAAUAAAAAAAUGCUGCGCAA